UGUUAAUCGCGGAAAACGACUAAUGGAAGAGAGAGAGAGAGAGAGAGAGAGGGAGAGAGAGAGAGAGUAUAAUGGGGGUGAGUGAGAGGACAACGCACUACCAAAUUCCGAACAGGAGCCCAGACCUUCGGAUACACUUCCUAGGUUCCUCCAUCACCAUCUGCAUAUCGGUUCGCUCUCCUGAACGAACUCGGCGGCCGAGGAUGGAUUCCCUUCUCUUGCGGCACUUCUCCUCCCCUCCUCCUCGUCUCUCCCUUUCUCCUUCGCGCCCAGGUGGUUGUGUGCCAAGUCAGCACUUAAUCAGCAAAGUGUGCAAGAUUACGAUUAGAUGCAAUGUUGGAGGGUGUAAAUGGGAUCCUUCAAACUUCAGUUUAGGACAAAUUAAGAGGAAGUUUGUGCACACUAGAAAUGCUGAAUCAAGUUAUGUAAAUGCUACAUCAGAAUCAUUGGAAUCUCAACCUGAAGCUUUUAACUACACAAAUUGGUGGAAGUCAUCAAUAGCUUCAUUAGAUGCCUUCUACAGAUUUUCUCGGCCUCACACAGUCAUUGGAACAGUAAUGAGCAUAAUAUCAGUUUCUUUACUGGCAGUUGAAAGCUUAUCUGAUAUCUCCCCGCUGUUUUUAACUGGAUUGUUCCAAGCUGUUAUUGCUGCAUUAUUCAUGAAUAUCUAUAUUGUUGGGCUUAAUCAGGUUUUUGACAUAGAAAUAGACAAGGUUAAUAAGCCAUAUCUGCCUUUAGCAUCUGGGGAGUACUCGUUCAGAACUGGAGUUGCAAUAGUUUCCAUUUUUGCUGUCUUGAGCUUUGGUGUUUCAUGGGCUGUUGGUUCUGUGCCAUUAUGGUGGGCUAUUUCCAUCAGCUUUAUCCUUGGAACAGCAUAUUCAACCAAUCUGCCAUGUUUAAGAUGGAAGAGAUCUGCUGUUGUUGCAGCACUCUGUAUUCUGGUGGUGCGUGCUGUGAUUGUUCAGCUUGCAUUUUUCUUGCAUAUGCAGACAUUUGUCUUCCAAAGACCAGUCUAUUUCUCCAGACCUUUGGUAUUCGCGACUGCAUUCAUGAGUUUCUUCUCUAUUGUGAUUGCACUAUUUAAGGAUAUCCCUGAUAUUGAAGGAGACCGUAUCUUUGGUAUUCGGUCCUUCAGUGUUCGCCUAGGUCAAAAACGGGUCUUUUGGAUCUGUGUCUACCUUCUUGAGAUGGCUUAUGGUGUUGCAAUGGCAGUUGGAAUCACUUCAUCCUGCAAUUGGAGCAAGAUUGUGACUGUAUGCAGACAACUUCUCUGCAAUUUGCUUGGUCUUGGGCAACGCCGUACUUGCAUUGACUCUCUGGAAUCGUGCUAAAUCUGUCAACCUAAUGAGCAAACCGGCAAUUACAUCUUUUUACAUGUUUAUAUGGCAGCUUUUCUACGCGGAGUACUUGCUCAUUCCACUUGUGAGAUGACUUUUGGUCCAAAUUUGCUGAUCAAGCUGCUUUUCUUGACUGAAGUGAACGGAGAAAUAAGAUAGUACUAAAGUGAUAGCCCAGGUCGUCUCUCUCUUUCCUAGAACUAGUCUCGCAUUUCAUUAUCUAAUAUAUUAUCCACUAAAGUUUCUUUGAAGAAAGUCCCAAGAUUAUGUAUGUUGUACAUACGCUCUGUGCUGGCUGUUAAUAGAUUUGUAUUGUAACAAGCUUUUUUAUGUGAAAAAAGGAAAACCUCUAUGAAAA